GGGGCUGAUUCUGGAUUCGACGGGAUUAGCGAAGCCCGAAGUGCACGUCGAGGUGCGGUAGGCCUCGUAAAUAAACCGCAAAAAAAUAGUCGCAAACGACGAACAAUACGCUUUAGCAGCUUAAUAACCUGCCUUUAGCCUUCGCUCCCCAGCUUCCGCUCGUAAGACGGGGAUAAAGCGGAGUCAAACCAAAACGAGCUCGUGUGGAAGCCACCGUUUGAGGAUCGAAGCAUUAAAUUAAAUCAAACUAGCUUAAUUGUCGCGUGUCCGUCCGCAGGAUUAAGUGAAUUUAAAGACCGGACUAAACGUGUAGUGCUAACGGCAGAGGAAUUUCGGACGGGGGUUCAACUCCCCCCAGCUCCACCA
rfam:Aggregatibacter actinomycetemcomitans D11S-1, complete genome.